rnacentral:rRNA from 1 species
AGACCGCCGGGGUCAACUCGGAGGAAGGUGGGGAUGACGUCAAGUCCUCAUGCCCCUUAUGUCCAGGGCUGCAAACACGCUACAAUGGCCGAUACAAAGGGUCGCUUGCCCGCGAGGGUUGGCCAAUCCCAUAAAGUCGGUCUCAGUUCGGAUUGUAGUCUGCAACUCGACUUCAUGAAGCUGGAGUUGCUAGUAAUCCCGGAUCAACACGCCGGGGUGAAUACGUUCCCGGGCCUUGUUCACACCGCCCGU